CAUAGGUUACGGAUUUGUGCGGUGGAAACGAACACUCUUGAUCAAACCAGAAAACAUUUCUCUACUUGUGCUCCCCUGACUCUUUGACUGCCCGAGACCAGAAUGCUUUCUUUCUCUUCUUCAUCUUCACCUGGAACUCUCGUGCUCUCCUCUGUUUACCCUGACAGAUCAUAUUUGGAAAAAGAUGUUAGUUUUAGUCUAGGCACACAGUGAAAACAGUCACUCUUGGCACCUUGACUUAGCCAAUAUGCCUCUCAACCCAAGGCCAUCUGGAGAAGUGAAGGUGCCAAGAGUAGUGACUGCAGUUUCUUUUUCCUUAUGCUCAACUUCUUAUAAAUGUUAAAGGAUAGAUAAAAGUAGGAAAGUGCUACCAGCUUUGAGAAUAUUAAUGGGGAUAGGUGAAAACAACAAUGGUGGAAGUCCGUUGAUCAACAGAGGGGGAAGAACAAGGAUGGAAAAUUCUCUUUGGGACCUUUGGUCUUGGAUCUCUCUACAUGAGAUGAUCCCCCAUCUCUUGGUGUGUCGUUUCCUUGUGCCUGGAGGGUAUGAGGAGGAAGAUAUGAGCAGCUGGCUUAAUGUCUGACGAAGAAUCUGGAGAGUAUGAAGAGCCUUGGAACUGUGAGUAUGAAGCUAGCAAGAGCAACUAAAUUGAAAGGAAAGAAGCAGAAGAAGAAACAGGCCAGAAGGGUAAUAAUAGAUUUCUCACAAUAAACACACACAGUCACACAUGUGCAAACCACACACACAUAGAGGCAUUUUUUCACUACCGUAUUAUUUAAAAGGUUCAAAAGACAUAAUUUUUUUGUAUGCAGCCAGUGCUGGAAUGCAAGGAAGGGGGAAAAGUCAUAAGAGGUGGCAAAUAAGUUGUUACAUUCUGCACUAUCUGUAAUUCUCACCAUUAGAUUCCCCAAGUGCCUUUUCACAGCGCUUAAAGCAGUGUUUUGAGCAAAGACUGUUGUGUGCAUUUGAGCCUCUGCAGCAUUCAGAAUUUAAGGAUAAUGAAGGUUUGCAGGUACAAAAGGCAUCAGGGUUAUUAUAAUGUUGUGUUAUAAUAUAGGUAAGAAAAUGGGGCCGGUAGGCUGCAUGUAGUUCCCAUGCCUAUUUUGCACCCUUAUCUCCCUAGAAGAUUCCUGAAAUCCACAAUACUAUUUUUAAAUAAUAUAUAGACAAAUAAAUUGCCCCCAAAUAUCAUAAAAAUACUUGAUACUCCAUAAGUGUUAGUUAGAUUUAUUUCCCACUACACCUAUCAUGAGAAUCAAUAUGGUUUGACUGUCAGAGUAGGAGUGCAUCUAUUGUACAAUUAAUGUAAUUUGGCCCCAGUUUAACUGCUAUGGUUCAAUGCUAUGGGUGUGUGUGGAAACUGUAGUUUUACAAGGUCUUUAGCUUUCUUUGCCAAAGACUGCUAGACCAUCACUAACCUAAAAAAACCAGGAUUCCAUUGUGUUGAGCCAUGGCAGUUAAAAUGGUGUCAAAAUGCACUAAUUCUAUAGUUUAGUUGCACCUCAGGUUUCCAGAUUAGGAUUCAAUUCACUGAACAACCAUGGAAAGCCACUGAGUGACCUUGAAGUAGUCACAGUUCUCUCAGCUUCAGUGGAAGGCAAUAACAAACUGAAUUUGAACUAAUCUUGCUAAGAAAAUUCCAUGCUAAAUGCCUCUUAAAAUUGCUAUAAGUAAGACAUGACUCAAGGGUACAAACCAACAGUGAUACUAAUCAUGAAACACUUGUCCAAAGCCAAAUUUUAAUUGAAGUAAAAAUGUUAGCUAAAGUGACACACCCUGCUGCUUGCCUGAAAGCUAUGGGGUGAAAACUGCCUAUCAUCCCCAAUGUAGUUGCCCACACUUACUUUAAAAAACCCCUUUAUGGUGAACCAGAAAGCUGGAGGGAGAUCUAGUACAACCUGAAUUUCAAAUCCUGGCAUCUUUAAUCCUUAAAAGGGGGAAAGAAUUUAGACUAUUUGGGUGCAUUUCUGUAAAAUGAGUAGUUCAGGCAGUCACUUAGUUACAAGCAUCUAACUCACAAAUGAUUCAUUGUUAAGAAUGGGGGUGAAACAACAUGAAGUGAGAGAAAUCUAUUCCUAGGAAGGGAAAUUCACUCCUGAAAGAGUUAUCAUGGGGGAAAAGAUGUUUCCACUGAAGCUUUCUCACCAAUUCUUGUUUUCAGAGCAAGCCAUUUUUUUCAAAAUCCAAUGAUCACAGGGACAGAAAGUGAGGUGACAUGUUCUAAACGGGCACAGACAGCAAGACCAACACCAUAGGGCUGUUAACCCUUCCCUAUGAUAUUCAAAGCUUGUGUGUGUGUGUGUGUGUGUGUGUGUGUGUGGCUGAGUUACAUUUUUUAAAAGUACCUGUUUCAACUUACACAAAAAUUCAACAUAAGAGCAAACCUACAGAACUCUACCUAUCUUGUUCAUAACUUGAGGACUGCCUGUAUUGGCAAAAUAAGUAUUGCUUGGUAACAGCAGUACUAGUGGAUAGAGAUACUUGAGACCUCAUCAUAUGGGCCACCAGAAUCGCCACACAUCGUGGUGAAUCCAGCGGUGCCCAUCGGGAGGCAUGGUGAACCCAUCACUUCACGCUCCACAUUGCCUAACUCACCCGAUUCCUCAUCCCACGGGGAAGCGUUGGCCACCAGCUGUAAGUUGCUCUAUGUCAUGGGAGGGGAGCCAGUGGGUUCUGUCAUAAAAAAUAUAGGUGAACUGGCAUAUGCCACCGAAAAGGAUCUCAUGUGAUAAGGUCAUUGGUCACUUUGUGAUUAGUCAAUCUUUUUUGUGCUUGCUGUGUGUGAGUGCCUAGUUCAUGGGGGAGGGCACCAAUUUUUCAUAAAAGUGCUAGUUUUCUACAAAGUAAAUUAUGCAUAAUCCCAGAAAGUUUUUUUUUAAUGCACAUUCACAUUUGACAUCUCAGAUAGAUGCUGAUAGUGAGAUGUCUUUAGGGAAAUGAAGAAUCUAUAUGAUGUUUCUUUCUUUGGUGUGAGAAUUCAUCUCAACUUGAAUUUUGAUAAUAGUAACAUUCUUAAAAAUGAACAACUGCUGAGAAGUCUGUUCCUCAACGUCAGUCGCUCACCAGGGUUGCAAAAGUGGUUUCUGCUGCAAACCCUCUUUAAUAUGAGACUUAAACCAUAUAAGCCAAGAUAACAAUAAUAAAAAUAAUAAUGCAUUUCUAUUUAUUAUCCACUUCUCCCUAUGGCUUAAGACAGGGUACAACACUUUUAAAACAGACAGAGAAACACACCAUUAAAAUAUAUAUAUCAAAGUACACACAACUGGUAAGCAAUACAUUUAACUGAAAGCAUUGAAAAGUAAGGCCUUAUCAUUGAGAAAAAUAUAUUGUUCCACUUGCACAGUUAUCAUGAUUAUUGCUGUAAGGGGUGUGGUUCUAUCAAGGUUGGUUCAAGUUCUAAGCAAGGUGUCUUCUACUAGCCCUGCUAUCUGACAGUGGGUGUUGGUGGGUAUAACAUGAUUUUUUUUCAAGCACUGAUGAGCAUUAGAGUCAAACUAUGUAUUUGAUUUCCCUCAAUGCCUUGAGGAAAAUCAAUAAUGGCCCUACCAUUAGGCAUUGUGAGGCAAUUUUGCCAGGAAAAUGUCAUUAUAGGUUCACUUUAGAGUUGCCAUCAGGUUGAGGUGACUCAAAGGCACGUAAACAACAAGAAUAUGGAUUUAUAUUUGAACCAUUUAUAUAUAUAUAUCACACUACAUCAUGCCAAAUUUCAUGGAUGUUUACACUCUUAAAUUGUAAUAAACAACAACCUCCCCGCAAAAAGAUAAAAGUGAUAGAUAAAAAUGUUAUGACUAAGAUUGAGACCGAUUAACAGUUAAACAUAACAGUUAAAUUGCCAGAGCAAUGCUUGGGUAAGUAAAUAUGAUUUCUAAAUCUUAGCAAGUUUGUUCUGAAGACGUUGUUGUCUUUACC